GAACCGUGCGAACGUUAUUCGGAAUCAUUGGGCUUAAAGCGCGUGUAGGCGGAUGGGAACGUCGAUGUUGAAAGCCCCCGGCUCAACCGGGGAACCGGCGUCGAAACGACCCGUCUGGAGGGGCAUAGGGGGAGCUGGAACUUCCGGUGGAGCGGUGAAAUGCGUAGAUAUCGUAAGGAAGACCAGUGGCGAAGGCGAGUCUCUGGACAGUUACCGACGCUGAGGCACGAAGGUCAGGGGAGCAAACGGGAUUAGAUACCCCGGUAGUCCUGACAGUAAACGGUGCACGUUUGGUGUAGGCGGAUUCGACCCCGUCUGUGCCGGASUAACGCGUUAAACGUGCUGCCUGGGAAGUACGGUCGCAAGAUUA
rnacentral:rRNA from 1 species